UACGUAGGGCGCAAGCGUUCUCCGGAAUUAUUGGGCGUAAAGAGCUCGUAGGCGGUUUGUCGCGUCUGCCGUGAAAGUCCGGGGCUCAACUCCGGAUCUGCGGUGGGUACGGGCAGACUAGAGUGAUGUAGGGGAGACUGGAAUUCCUGGUGUAGCGGUGAAAUGCGCAGAUAUCAGGAGGAACACCGAUGGCGAAGGCAGGUCUCUGGGCAUUACCUGACGCUGAGGAGCGAAAGUGUGGGGAGCGAACAGG
rnacentral:rRNA from 1 species